GGAUAGGCGGGAGCCAUUGAAACCGGAGCGCUAGCUUCGGUGGAGGCGCUGGUGGGAUACCGCCCUGAAUGUAUUGAAAUUCUAACCUACGGGUCUUAUCGACCCGGGAGACAGUGUCAGGUGGGCAGUUUGACUGGGGCGGUCGCCUCCUAAAGUGUAACGGAGGCGCCCAAAGGUUCCCUCAGAAUGGUUGGAAAUCAUUCGUAGAGUGCAAAGGCAUAAGGGAGCUUGACUGCGAGACCUACAAGUCGAGCAGGGACGAAAGUCGGGCUUAGUGAUCCGGUGGUUCCGCAUGGAAGGGCCAUCGCUCAACGGAUAAAAGCUACCCCGGGGAUAACAGGCUUAUCUCCCCCAAGAGUCCACAUCGACGGGGAGGUUUGGCACCUCGAUGUCGGCUCAUCGCAUCCUGGGGCUGUAGUCGGUCCCAAGGGUUGGGCUGUUCGCCCAUUAAAGCGGUACGCGAGCUGGGUUCAGAACGUCGUGAGACAGUUCGGUCCCUAUCCGUCGUGGGCGUAGGAAAUUUGAGAGGAGCUGUCCUUAGUACGAGAGGACCGGGAUGGACGCACCGCUGGUGUACCAGUUGUUCUGCCAAGGGCAUAGCUGGGUAGCUAUGUGCGGAAGGGAUAAGUGCUGAAAGCAUCUAAGCAUGAAGCCCCCCUCAAGAUGAGAUUUCCCAUAGCGUAAGCUAGUAAGAUCCCUGAAAGAUGAUCAGGUUGAUAGGUUCGAGGUGGAAGCAUGGUGACAUGUGGAGCUGACGAAUACUAAUAGAUCGAGGACUUAACC
rnacentral:rRNA from 1 species